rnacentral:rRNA from 1 species
UACAGAGGGUGCGAGCGUUAAUCGGAAUUACUGGGCGUAAAGCGCGCGUAGGCGGCUUUGCAAGUCGAGUGUGAAAUCCCCAGGCUUAACCUGGGAACUGCAUUCGAGACUGCAUAGCUAGAGUAUGGGAGAGGGAAGUGGAAUUUCAGGUGUAGCGGUGAAAUGCGUAGAUACCUGAAGGAACAUCAGUGGCGAAAGCGACUUCCUGGACCAAUACUGACGCUCAUGUGCGAAAGCGUGGGGAGCAAACAGG